rnacentral:rRNA from 1 species
UACGAAGGGUGCAAGCGUUGUCCGGAAUCAUUGGGCGUAAAGCGCGUGUAGGCGGCUCGGUAAGUCUGCUGUGAAAGUCCAGGGCUCAACCCUGGGAUGCCGGUGGAUACUGUCGAGCUCGAGUCCGGAAGAGGCGAGUGGAAUUCCUGGUGUAGCGGUGAAAUGCGCAGAUAUCAGGAGGAACACCAAUGGCGAAGGCAGCUCGCUGGGACGUGACUGACGCUGAGACGCGAAAGCGUGGGGAGCAAACAGG